rnacentral:rRNA from 1 species
CCUACGGGUGGCAGCAGUGGGGAAUAUUGCACAAUGGGCGCAAGUCUGAUCCAGCAAAGCAGCGUGAAGGAAGAAGGGUUUCGGCGCGGAAACUUCUAUCAACAGGGGCGAAAGAAAUGACGGUACCGGAAUGAGAAGCACCGGCUAACUCCGUGCCGGCAGCCGAGGUAAGACGUAGGGGGCAAGCGUUAUCCGGAAUUACUGGGUGUAAAGGGUGAUUAGGCGGCAUGGUAAGCCAGAUGUGAAAGCCUUGGGCUCAACCCUAGGAUUGCAUUUGGAACUAUCAAGCUAGAGUACAGGCGAGGAAAGCGGAAUUCAUAGUGUAGCGGUGAAAUGCGUAGAUAUUAGGAAGAACACCAGUGGCGAAGGCGGCUUUCUGGACUGAAACUGACGCUGAGGCACGAAAGCGUGGGGAGCGAACAGGAUUAGAUACCCGUGUAGUC